AUUGAACGCUGGCGGCAGGCCUAACACAUGCAAGUCGAACGGCAGCGGGGGAUAGCUUGCUAUCCUGCCGGCGAGUGGCGGACGGGUGAGUAAUGCAUGGGGAGCUGCCCAAUCGAGGGGGAUAACAACUGGAAACGGUUGCUAAUACCGCAUACGCCCUGCGGGGGAAAGGUGGGGACCUUCGGGCCUACCGCGAUUGGAUGCAACCAUGUGGGAUUAGCUGGUUGGUGAGGUAACGGCUCACCAAGGCGACGAUCUCUAGCUGGUCUGAGAGGAUGACCAGCCACACUGGAACUGAGACACGGUCCAGACUCCUACGGGAGGCAGCAGUGGGGAAUAUUGCACAAUGGGGGAAACCCUGAUGCAGCCAUGCCGCGUGUGUGAAGAAGGCCUUCGGGUUGUAAAGCACUUUCAGUGGGGAGGAAGGGUUGAUGGCUAAUAAUCAUCAGCAUUGACGUUACCCACAGAAGAAGCACCGGCUAACUCCGUGCCAGCCGCCGCCGUAAAAC
rnacentral:rRNA from 1 species